GAGCAUUUGGUUUAGUGGUAUGAUUCUCGCUUUGGGUGCGAGAGGUUUUGAGUUCAAUUCUCGAAAUGCCCC
rfam:Ipomoea nil DNA, scaffold: scaffold3169, cultivar: Tokyo-kokei standard.